CAGAUGUCUGAUCUCAUUUUUUAUCUAAGUGAUUUUGUCUUUCGGUUUACACAACAUCUGCUGAACCGAAUCUACUCGGAAUCCCAAAAAUUCUAUGCAUUGGGAGAGUAGAAGGACCAACUUCUCCCAAUUCACCCAAAAAAAUAAAUUUUGGAGAAGAUGCGUUGUCCAAGACAGGUGAAGACUGUGACUGUGACAGGAGAAGGAUGUUGUCUUUAAGCGUACGCCUCGUGUGUGUAGAAAGGCAAUAACUGGCUUACGAACUAUCGUGAAGCACCAGGGAGCAGAGGAAAGGCCAAAUGGGAAACAUACAAACCUCC